GAAAUGCGAUAAGUAAUGUGAAUUGCAGAAUUCAGUGAAUCAUCGAAUCUUUGAACGCACAUUGCGCCCGCCAGCACUCUGGCGGGCAUGCCUGUUCGAGCGUCAUUUCAACCCUCAGAACCCCUUGCGGGAUCUGGCGUUGGGGAUUGGCAUCCAGCCAGCCCCGAAAUCUAGUGGCGGUCCCUCCGCGACCUCCCCUUUGCAGUAGCGAUACCUCGCAGCGGGACAGCGGUCUGACCACGCCGUAAAACCCCCAACUUCUCAAGGUUGACCUCGAAUCAGGUAGGAAUACCCGCUGAACUUAAGC
rnacentral:misc_RNA from 1 species